rnacentral:lncRNA from 1 species
UUUGAAUCCAUGUGAAUCAGUAGCAUAUUGGUCUUCAUUGUUUUUCCUCCUUCUCCGACGUUUUUUUGAGACAGGGUCUCACUCUGUUGCCCAGGCUGGAGUGCAGGGCACAAUUACAGCUCCCUGCAGCCUUGAUUUCUCAGGCUCAAGCCAUCCUCUUGCCUCAGCUUCCCUAGUAGCCGGGACUAUAGGUGCAUGCCACCAUACUCAGCUAAUCUUUUUAGGUUUUUAGUAGAGACAAGGUCUCACUAUGUUGCCCAGGCUGGUCUUGAACUCCUAAGCUCAAGCAGUCCUCCC